rnacentral:rRNA from 1 species
CCAGCAGCCGCGGUAAUUCCAGCUCCAAUAGCGUAUAUUAAAGUUGUUGCAGUUAAAAAGCUCGUAGUUGGAUUUCUGGAGGGAGCGGCCGGUCCGUGUCUAUUAUGGCAUGUGUACUAGCUUUUGUCUCCCACCUGCCUUGUGGGUCGCUGUACUCCUUAACUGGUUGUGCGCGGUUCCACAUCAUUUACUGUGAAAAAAUUAGAGUGUUUAAAGCAGGCGUUGGCCUUGAAUACAUUAGCAUGGAAUAAUAAGAUAGGACUUAGGUUCUUCUUGUUGGUUCACGGACCUAAGUAAUGAUUAAUAGGGAUAGUUGGGGGUAUUCAUAUUUCAUUGUCAGAGGUGAAAUUCUUGGAUUUAUGAAAGAUGAACUACUGCGAAAGCAUUUACCAAGGAUGUUUUCAUUAAUCAAGAACGAAAGU